rnacentral:rRNA from 1 species
GACGAACGCUGGCGGCGUGCUUAACACAUGCAAGUCGAACGGUGAAGGGGUCUGCUUUUGUGGGCCCUGGAUGAGUGGCGAACGGGUGAGUAACACGUGAGUAACCUGCCCCCUUCUUCUGGAUAACCGCAUGAAAGUGUGGCUAAUACGGGAUAUUCUGGGUCUGUCGCAUGGUGGGUCUGGGAAAGAUUGCGCCUUUGGGUGUUUUUGGUGGGGGAUGGGCUCGCGGCCUAUCAGCUUGUUGGUGGGGUGAUGGCCUACCAAGGCGGUGACGGGUAGCCGGCCUGAGAGGGUGGACGGUCACACUGGGACUGAGACACGGCCCAGACUCCUACGGGAGGCAGCAGUGGGGAAUAUUGCACAAUGGGCGCAAGCCUGAUGCAGCGACGCCGCGUGAGGGAUGGAGGCCUUCGGGUUGUAAACCUCUUUCGCCAGUGAAGCAGGCCUGCUCCUUGUGGGUGGGUUGACGGUAGCUGGAUAAGAAGCGCCGGCUAACUACGUG